UACGGAGGGUGCAAGCGUUAUCCGGAUUCACUGGGCUUAAAGGGUGCGUAGGUGGGCAGGUAAGUCAGUGGUGAAAUCUCCGGGCUUAACCCGGAAACUGCCAUUGAUACUAUCUGUCUUGAAUACCGUGGAGGUGAGCGGAAUAUGUCAUGUAGCGGUGAAAUGCUUAGAUAUGACAUAGAACACCAAUUGCGAAGGCAGCUCACUACACGAAUAUUGACACUGAGGCACGAAAGCGUGGGGAUCAAACAGG
rnacentral:rRNA from 1 species